UCUUCCGGAAAAAAGGUGUAAUAUUUUUCUUAAUCUAGACUGCCAUUGCUCAAUUCUGAAUAUAAAGAUCAGUAAAUAUCAUUGAAAAUUCGACCACUUACGGGUGUUUCGAGUUAACGAAAGAAUUUGAAAUCCCUGAUAAAGAACCAGGAUGAAUGGACUUGAUUAAUUUAUCAUUCCUUAAAACUGACAUGAACUUUUGGUUUUCGAGCUCAGUGGGUACCCCGAAAAGUAUUUCCUCCAACGAAUUGCGAAGGUGGCCUUCAAUUAGAGGAAUACAUAAGCUUAAGGAAAGUUGGUAUAAAGAAGACUUAGAGCAGGGUAAAGACGAAUGAAUGACUUCAUUUUUUGACUCCAGAAGCAAAAUUUGAUUUUCAUGCUUUUUAAACAGCUUCGGAGAUCCGAGUAAUGAUAUUAACUUCUUAAAAGAAGGAAAUGAACUAAAAUCUCCACGUUCAUCACAAUAUCUUAGAAUAUUUUGAAGGUCAAAGAUGUCUUUGUGGGUACAACUGAGUGUUCUUCCGCCGUAGACUGGUAUAAUUUUAGGCGUUGAUAAAUGAAUCACUUUGCAUUCGUUAGCUUUAUCUUCAAUAAUCAAAACGUACAUUUUCUUACAAGAGCCUCGACGAUUCUAUAAUUCCUAGUAUGCCAAAUUAUUUCAGUUUGCUCAUUAAGUUUAACCCUACCGAAUAGAGAGUUCAUAAAAUGCUUUACAAGAGUGAAUUUUUUCGAGUCCUUCCCUUCAAAGUACUUUGAGUAGUAGACUGAAAGGCAGUUCAUUAGCUGAUCACACAAAAAGUAUUCAAUAAAUUCCUUAAUAGCUGAAGGCUUAAAAGAUUCCUAGAUCAAUCGGUUAGAAAUCGGAGUUUAUUACAUAAAACUUACAGAUCUUGAAUAAUAUAUUUGUUUUAAUACCAUAGGAAGUUCAUUAGGGAUUCUUUCCCUAUUUUCAUAACACGAAACAAGCAUCUCUGUAACAACCCUCAUUGCAUCACUUUCAAUUGUCGUUUCACAUAAGUGCUCCAAGAAAAAUUUAUCGACUACAUUUCCUAAAUGUUUUUCAAAGAAUGAUUGAAGCUGCAAACUGAAACAAUUAGAAAAUACUCCAAAUGAUAUAGCGUACCAAAAUCCUUUAGUGAACAGUCUUGAGGCCCACGAAAUAAGAGAAUCACUGGUCGAAUGUCCCACUUCCGCAGACGAUUGUUGAAUAGAAACCAUAACACAAGACAUUAUCAAAUUUAGAAAACUUCUUCGAUCAGAAGCUGAAAUUGCAAAGCCAAAGAAUUUUAAUAUCAGGAGAAUAAAGUUUUGAACAUCAAUUUUGUCAAUGCCAUCAGAUGAGAAUCUUGAUAUUAUUAAUAUCCAAAUUUGAGGAGACUCUUCAAGCUUAAAGAUCAAAUUGUUGAGUAUCGGCGGAACCAGCUGACUGGAAAUUGCAAUAGAUGAAUCGUCACUACUAAAUCCACAAAAAUCAAGUGACAUUUCCAAUUGCGGUAAAUGAAGAAGCUCUAAAUGUAAUGAUACCAUCUUUCUGUAUAUUUGGUGGCUUUCUUUCAGUAGUAUCAAUCUUUCCUCAUCAGAAAUAGAGCUUAGUUUAGUCUCUAGCUUUGGCAGCCAACCUAAUCGCUCAGACAUAUCAUCGCGCCUUAAUUUUUCUAUACUAACACAUUUCCUUGUUAAAAAACCACGACAUUGGGAUUGACAUUGUUUAAUCCACGCUGGUACUUCUCGAAAGCAGGAAACUUGCUUAUUAGAAGUUGCUGUUUCAUGGCGAUGUGAAUAGGAACAGAAAAAAUUUUUUAAUUUCGGAAAGUUUGGAAAUUUUUUUGCUUUUUUUAAUAAGGAAAUCUCUUUUGUUGCAGUGUUCAGUUGGGAUUUUUUAAUUCGCAGCUUCCCAUAUAGGGAUGGAACAUGACGGGUGACUUCAAGAAAAUCAAGAAGAUAAGAAAGAGCGUGUAAGCAAUAGAUUACUUUUGGAAUAUUAAAUCUUCUAACUAAAUCUUUCGUCUCGAAGCGAAAUGGCUGAUAACGUUAGUACAUGGAUAUAAUUAUAACAUAAACAUACAGUAAACAUUCCAAUGAAAUCUAAAAAAUGGAAGAAUGCAUUUAAGUAAACCGUAUUCCUUUCAGAUAUUUGAUAACGUGGCUUCCAAUUUGAAGCUAACUUGGGAUAAUAUUUAAAAGCUAACUGACACAGAACUUUACCAUUUACAAGUGCAUCAACAAAGUCAUCAAGGUUCUGAUAUUCGUUAUUAGUUUCCUCUUCAAGCCAUCUUUUUAAUGUCAGUGUCAAUUCCGAUUGUUAGAAUAGACUUACUUUUUAGCUUCAUGAACGCUACAAAGAUAGCCAUAGGCAAGCCAGUCAUUCAUUUGAUUCUUAACUUCUUUAUUGCGUUUGGACUUCAUAUCUUUUUUAAAAACAUAGUGGUUUUCAAAUUUUUGUAUCAUCGGUUCAUCCUGAAAAAUACCAUUCGGAGCCAUCGCAUUAAGCGUAAGCUCCUGCAACGGCCCUUUAUUCUGUAACAUUUUCAUUGAAAGUGGAUGCAAUUUGAUGUUUUUUGCAAAAUUUGUUCUGCAGAAGAGUGAGCUAUAUACGUUAUUAUUAUGGCAAACUCGUAUUUAACUAUUUGUAAACAAACAAACAAACCAAAUAGAACUUCGAGUAUCAAAGGGUCAUUCUUAUAAUUCGUAAACAGUUGAGAG